rnacentral:rRNA from 1 species
CGGUGCCUACGGGAGGCAGCAGUCGGGAAUAUUGCGCAAUGGAGGAAACUCUGACGCAGUGACGCCGCGUAUAGGAAGAAGUUUUUCGGAAUGUAAACUAUUGUCGUUAGGGAAGAGAAAGGACAGUACCUAAGGAGGAAGCUCCGGCUAACUACGUGCCAGCAGCCGCGGUAAUACGUAGGGAGCGAGCGUUAUCCGGAAUUAUUGGGUGUAAAGGGUGCGUAGACGGGAAAACAAGUUAGUUGUGAAAUCCCUCGGC